rnacentral:misc_RNA from 1 species
CCCUAUCUCACGAACACAUGCACAGACAAUAUAGCUCUAUUGAAGCUAGAUUUUACCAUUUGCCCUUGCAUCAUUAUAAAUUAGUACAAGCAGUCAAACAAAAGGGGCAUCAGCUAUUUAGCUUUAAUUUUCAUGCUUGACCAACUUUAGAGGGGGGAAAACAAUAAAGCUUUGAAGAAUCAAGAACUAGCUCUUAUUUUGAAGUAGAACAAUCACACCAUUUUGUCCAAAAUUUUCCAUAAGCCAAAUAUGGCAGUAGAGAAU